AGAGCGAACGCUGGCGGCAGGCCUAAAACAUGCAAGUCGAACGGACCCUUCGGGGUUAGUGGCGGACGGGUGAGUAACACGUGGGAACGUGCCUUUUGGUUCAGAACAACUCAGGGAAACUUGAGCUAAUACUGAAUAAGCCCUACGGGGGAAAGAUUUAUCGCCAUUAGAGCGGCCCGCGUUGGAUUAGCUAGUUGGUGAGGUAAAGGCUCACCAAGGCUACGAUCCAUAGCUGGUCUGAGAGGAUGAUCAGCCACACUGGGACUGAGACACGGCCCAGACUCCUACGGGAGGCAGCAGUUAGGAAUCUUGCGCAAUGGGCGAAAGCCUGACGCAGCCAUGCCGCGUGAAUGAUGAAGGUCUUAGGAUUGUAAAUUCUUUCAGUGGGAAGAUAAUGACUGUACCCACAGAAGAAGCUCCGGCUAACUUCGCGCCAGCAGCCGC
rnacentral:rRNA from 1 species